CCACAGAAAGGGAGCUGGGAGUUCUGGCUGGCAACAAGUUGUCCAUGAGUCACAGUGUGCCCUGGCAGUCAGAAGGGCCAGCCGUUCCCUGGGGUGCAUCAGGCCCAGCGCUGCUGGCUAGGCGAGGGAAGGGGUUCUCCUGCUGUGCUCUGGGUGCCACAACAUGAGAAGGACAUAAAGCUAUCCUGUUCAUGGACCACAGAAUGUAGAAGUUGUUGAUAUCCGUUCCCGGCAGCUGACAUUGCAGUGGGAGCCCUUUGGUUAUGCGGUGACCCGCUGCCACAGCUACAAUCUCACAGUCCAGUACCAGUAUGUCUUUAACCAGCAAAAAUUUGAGGCAGAGGAACUCAUCCAAACGUCUUCCCACUAUACCUUGCGAGGUCUUCGGCCGUUCAUGACCAUCAGGCUGAGACUGGCUCUUUCCAAUCCAGAAGGCAAAAUGGAGAGUGAGGAGCUGGUUGUGCAGACUGAGGAGGAUGUUCCUGGACCUGUUCCUUUGGAAUCCAUCCAGGGAGGACCUUUUGAAGAGAAGAUCUAUGUUCAGUGGAAGCCUCCAAAUGAGACAAAUGGCAUCAUUACACUUUAUGAGGUGAGGAGAACUGGCUGUUGUCAAAGCACAUAUGCCAUAGGGCCUUUCUCAUAUGUGUUUAAGCCAGUCAUGAGCUCUGGGAGAUUUCAGAAAACACUAUGAUAAGCCUGAAUAAAAUACAUAAGAAUAUUUCAGAUAUUCUGCUGUUGCCACUGAAAAAGUUUUCCAGUUCAAGGCAUGUGGGGAUUGGGGGGAGGAAUGCCUCAACGGUAUUUGUGGCAAAUUUUGCCAAGAGAUAAUCCUUUACUGAAGUAAGAAGUUGUGUUUUGUUGGUCAUUGUGGAGACACUUGGAAAAAUCUGUGCAGAUUGCAAAUGUCCUAAACUCAAGCAAACCCUUGGAAUUUCAUGGCUUUUGCAGGUGUAGUAAGCUAUUCUCUGUACA